CGAGCCAGACCGAACCGCUCCAAUGAACUAAAACGUUGAACUCCAUUGUAGUUGCUUUAAGCUCCGUCUUCCACAGGUCUCGCCGGCCAAGGAUAUCGCUGUUCUUGAUUUUCAAACCCCUUUUCUACGAUGAUCAACGACCAGGCGCAUCCGUCUGGUCUUGUCAUAGCUCACACCGAAGCUAUUCGCACAUUUCUGACCUCGGCGUCCAUAGACUCACGAAUUUCUGAGGAACUCCGGCAGCUUGCUUCAAAUCUCGCUUCACAAGACAAUGUUCCGUAUAAGCCGCUGAGAGCUAUCUGGUUUGCUACGGAAUCGUCCACCCGGCCGGAUUUGCUCCGUCUUUUGUAUGGAUCGGAGUUCGUCUUUACAAGCCCUAAACCAAGGGAGAAGAGUGAGGAGUUAAAGGCUAGAUUGAAGAAUCUUGCGGAUGUAGCAGAGAGGAAGGCCUAUCAGGAACUAGUGAAGGAUAUUGCACCUAAGAAACCAAUUGAUGAGCCUUUCUCUUCCUACAAGGAUCAGCUGGGGUUCGGUUUACACGUCGUGUUGAUAAUGUUUACGGGCUAUCUUGUUGGAUAUACUUUAUUCCGAGCAUUGUUUAGGCAUGAUCCAAUCAUGAGUGCUGCUGGAGGUAUCCUUGGAUUGGUUUUUGGCAUGCUCGUAGAAACACUUCUUUUCAUUAUUCGAGCAUCCAGUUACGAUAAUCGAUCUUCAUCGUCUUCCCGUUCUAAGCUAAAGAAGAAUCAGUAGAGUUACUUCUCUUGAGGUUUGCUUUCUUUCUACUUAAAUUGAACCUAUUAAGUUAGCUUUUACCCUAUGUUGUGGAUCCAAGCAUAAUAGGCAAGUAAGUAAUAAGGGCCUUGCUAAUGUGCUUGCUGUAAUUUGUUUGUAUAAAGACGUGUUCUUCUGGUGAAGAACAUCAAAAGAAUUGAGAUCCGAUUGUUCAUCUCAGGAGAUGAAGAAAUGAUUUUCUUUUGAAAAAGAAACCUUAAUGUAAGGAUACAAAGAACAAUCCGUUUGAAAUUUCAAGGUCCGUCUCGGUCUCGGAUCGACAAAGAGUCUCUACUAUAUGAUUUUAAACUCUUGUACAUAUAUGGUUUUUCGGUUCGAUUCGGUUCGAUUUGGUUCGGUUGCUUUGACCCUAAACUCCAACAUGAGAUUCUGAAGCCCUCCGUCCCCCUUCCUUCGUAAUUCGACUAAUUAUGUGACGUGGACAUAUUAUGUCGAGGUUGGAUUGUUCUCCAAUUCGGACUUUUGGUAUAUAAUGUUUUAUCAAGUUGUUAAUAGGCAGAAGUUAUUGUU